rnacentral:rRNA from 1 species
UACAGAGGGGGCAAGCGUUGUUCGGAAUUACUGGGCGUAAAGGGCGCGUAGGCGGCCCGCUAAGUCGAACGUGAAAUCCCCCGAGCUCAACCCGGGAACUGCGUCCGAUACUGGAAGGCUUGAAUCCGGGAGAGGGAUGCGGAAUUCCCGGUGUAGUGGUGAAAUUUCGUAGAUAUCGGGAGGAACACCAGUGGCGAAGGCGGCGAUCUGGGAAGAUACUGACGCUGAGGUGCGAAAGCGUGGGGGAGCAAAACAG